AGGGUGGGGAGACACCUCAGGAGGUGGUCCUGGGGCUGCUGUCCCACCCCUCGGUGCCACCAGCUCUUGGAGACUCGCCCGUCUGCAGGGUCAAGGAUCUUCUGGGGAUCUUGGUGAUGUGAGGUGGAAGGGAACCCAAGGUUCUUUGGACCACCCCAAUGCUCCUUGGACCAACCUAAGGUUCCUUGGACCAACCCAACCUUCUAUGGACCAACCCAACCUUCUUUGGACCAACCCAAGGUUCUUUGGACCAACCCAAGGCUCUUUGGACCAACCCAAGGUUCUUUGGACCAACCUGAGGUUCCUUGGACCAACCCAAGGUUCCUUGGACCAACCCAACCUUCUUUGGACCAACCCAAGGUUCCUCAGACCUUCAGGAGAAGGUUGACCUCUCAGGUCCACACCACCCUGAGCCACCUUGAGCUCCUCAAGCGAGCAAUGAGAGCUGUUUCUCCUGGUUUGGAGCAUCCCUGGAUGGAGGUGGACCUUCUCGUGGUCACCUGUGGUGG